GACUGUAUAGCUUUUAAGAGCAUUAAUUUUGAACAUUAAAGGAGGCACAUGAACGUGUCUAUAGUUU
rnacentral:tRNA from 1 species